rnacentral:tRNA from 1 species
GGAGAGUUGUCCGAGCUGGCCGAAGGAGCACGAUUGGAAAUCGUGUUGUGGGUGAAAACUUACACGAGGGUUCAAAUCCCUCACUCUCCGCCA